rnacentral:rRNA from 1 species
ACCUACGGGACGCAGCAGUGAGGAAUAUUGGUCAAUGGCCGAGAGGCUGAACCAGCCAAGUCGCGUGAGGGAUGACGGCCCUACGGGUUGUAAACCUCUUUUGUCGGGGAGCAAGACCCGCCUCGUGCAGGCGGAGCGAGAGUACCCGAAGAAAAAGCAUCGGCUAACUCCGUGCCAGCAGCCGCGGUAAUACGUAGGUGGCAAGCGUUAUCCGGAUUUACUGGGUGUAAAGGGCGUGUAGGCGGGAGAGCAAGUCAGACGUGAAAUUCCAGGGCUCAACCCUGGAACUGCGUUUGAAACUGUUU